UACGUAGGGUGCGAGCGUUUGUCCGGAAUUACUGGGCGUAAAGAGCUCGUAGGUGGUUUGUCGCGUUGUUCGUGAAAACCGGGGGCUUAACCCUCGGCGUGCGGGCGAUACGGGCAGACGUUGAGUACUGCAGGGGAGACUGGAAUUCCUGGUGUAGCGGUGGAAUGCGCAGAUAUCAGGAGGAACACCGGUGGCGAAGGCGGGUCUCUGGGCAGUAACUGACGCUGAGGAGCGAAAGCGUGGGGAGCGAACAGG
rnacentral:rRNA from 1 species